rnacentral:rRNA from 1 species
UACAGAGGGUGCGAGCGUUAAUCGGAAUUACUGGGCGUAAAGAGCACGUAGGUGGCGACGUAAGUCGGGUGUGAAAGCCCCGGGCUCAACCUGGGAAUUGCAUUCGAGACUGCAUUGCUGGAGUACGGAAGAGGAGGGCGGAAUUCCAGGUGUAGCGGUGAAAUGCGUAGAUAUCGGGAGGAACAUCAGUGGCGAAGGCGGCCCUCUGGUCCAGUACUGACACUCAAGUGAGAAAGCGUGGGGAGCAAACAGG